AGAAAGAAGAUCUUUAGGUUACUAAUUUUGGGGGUGGGAAGAGUUGACAUCAAAUGUGUUGCAAAUAUGAUUUUUAUAAUGUAAAGCAAAAUACAUGUAAAAUCACCUUUGUUAGCUGUUACAACCAUAAUAAACAGCGACAUAAGCACAGUAUUUGCAAUUAACAGUGACAAAAUGCAUUAAUGUAUUAAAUUUCUAAGCUUUCUUUUGACACAUCAUUGUGUUGUCGUUGUAACAGUAAAAAAAUGCACAGACGUCAAUAAAUAAUAAACAAGGGACAAAGGCGUAAGUCACACACUGGCAGCAUUCAUAAUCAGUAUAAAAAAUAUAAAGCUGAAUC